GACGAACGCUGGCGGCGUGCUUAACACAUGCAAGUCGAACGGAAAGGCCCUGCUUGCAGGGUCCUCGAGUGGCGAAAGGGUGAGUAAAACGUGGGUGUUCUGCCCUGCACUUCGGGAUAAGCCUGGGUAACUGGGUCUAAUACCGGAUAGGCGCCUUUUUUAGUGAGAUGGGUGGAAAGUUUUUUCGGUGUAGGAUGAGCUCGCGGCCUAUCAGCUUGUUGGUGGGGUAAUGGCCUACCAAGGCGGCGACGGGGAGCCGGCCUGAGCGGGUGGACGGCCACAGUGAGACUGGGAGACAGCCCAGACCCCAACGGGAGGCAGCGGUGGGGAAGAGGGCUCAAGGGGCGCGAGCCUGAUGCAGCGACGCCGCGGGGGGGUGGACGGCCUUCGGGUUGGAAUCUCCAUGCGCUAGGGACGAAGCUGUUUGUGACGGUACCUAGAUAAGAAGCACCGGCUAACUACGUG
rnacentral:rRNA from 1 species